UAAGGUUUAACCUGCCCACUGAAUAAUUUAAAUGGCCGCAGUAUUUUAACUGUGCAAAGGUAGCAUAAUCAUUAGUUUUUUAAUUAAAAGCUUGUAUGAAAGGUUGGACGAGGUAAAAACUGUUUCUAUUUAAUUUAUUAUAAAAUUUAAUUUUUAAGUUAAAAAGCUUAAAUUUUUUUAAAAGACGAGAAGACCCUAUAGAUCUUUAUAUUUAUUAUUUUAUUUUUAAUUAAGACUUAUUUAAAUUUUAUUAUAUUAAAUAUUUUAUUGGGGUAAUAAGAAGAUUAAAAAAAUUCUUUUAUAUAUUAUUCAUUGAUUAAUGUUUUAAUGAUCCAAUUUUAUUGAUUAUAAGAUUAAGUUACCUUAGGGAUAACAGCGUAAUUUUUUUAGAGAGUUCAUAUCGAUAAGAAAGUUUGCGACCUCGAUGUUGGAUUAAAGAUUAAUUUAGGUGUAGAAUUUUAAAUUUUUGGUCUGUUCGACCAUUAAAUCUUUACAUGAUCUGAGUUCAGACCGGUGUAAGCCAGGUCGGUUUCUAUCUUUAAUAAUAGAGUAUAUUUUAGUACGAAAGGACCAAAUAUAUAAUAUAUAAAUAUUUAUUAGUUUUUGAAUAUUAUUAAUUAUUUUGGCAGAUUAGUGCAAUGAAUUUAGAAUUCAUAUAUGUAAAUUUUUACAAGUAAUACUUGUUUUAUAUAGAUGUAAUAUUUUCUUUUAUUUGUAUAUUAUUAUUAAUUAUUUGUGUAUUA
rnacentral:rRNA from 1 species